GACGAACCGUGCGAACGUUGUUCGGAAUCACUGGGCUUAAAGGGCGCGUAGGCGGGCUGUCCAGUCUGGGGUGAAAUCCCGCGGCUCAACCGUGGAACUGCCUCAGAUACUGACGGCCUCGAGGGAGAUAGGGGCAUGCGGAACUGUAGGUGGAGCGGUGAAAUGCGUUGAUAUCUACAGGAACUCCGGUGGCGAAGGCGGCGUGCUGGAUCUCUUCUGACGCUGAGGCGCGAAAGCCAGGGGAGCAAACGGG
rnacentral:rRNA from 2 species